GCUCAACCGGGGAGGGUCAUUGGAAACUGGGGAACUUGAGUGCAGAAGAGGAGAGUGGAAUUCCACGUGUAGCGGUGAAAUGCGUAGAGAUGUGGAGGAACACCAGUGGCGAAGGCGACUCUCUGGUCUGUAACUGACGCUGAGGCGCGAAAGCGUGGGGAGCGAACAGGAUUAGAUACCCUGGUAGUCCACGCCGUAAACGAUGAGUGCUAAGUGUUAGAGGGUUUCCGCCCUUUAGUGCUGCAGCAAACGCAUUAAGCACUCCGCCUGGGGAGUACGGUCGCAAGACUGAAACUCAAAGGAAUUGACGGGGGCCCGCACAAGCGGUGGAGCAUGUGGUUUAAUUCGAAGCAACGCGAAGAACCUUACCAGGUCUUGACAUCCUCUGACAACCCUAGAGGUAGGGCUUCCCCUUCGGGGGCAGAGUGACAGGUGGUGCAUGGUCGUCGUCAGCUCGUGUCGUGAGAUGUUGGGUUAAGUCCCGCAACGAGCGCAACCCUUGAUCUUAGUUGCCAGCAUUCAGUUGGGCACUCUAAGGUGACUGCCGGUGACAAACCGGAGGAAGGUGGGGAUGACGUCAAAUCAUCAUGCCCCUUAUGACCUGGGCUACACACGUGCUACAAUGGGCAGAACAAAG
rnacentral:rRNA from 1 species